GACUCGUCACACUAUCAUUAACUGAAUCCAUAGGUUAAUGAGGCGAACCGGGGGAACUGAAACAUCUAAGUACCCCGAGGAAAAGAAAUCAACCGAGAUUCCCCCAGUAGCGGCGAGCGAACGGGGAGGAGCCCAGAGCCUGAAUCAGCAUGUGUGUUAGUGGAAGCGUCUGGAAAGGCGCGCGAUACAGGGUGACAGCCCCGUACACAAAAGCGCAUGUGCUGUGAGCUCGAUGAGUAGGGCGGGACACGUGGUAUCCUGUCUGAAUAUGGGGGGACCAUCCUCCAAGGCUAAAUACUCCUGACUGACCGAUAGUGAACCAGUACCGUGAGGGAAAGGCGAAAAGAACCCCGGCGAGGGGAGUGAAAAAGAACCUGAAACCGUGUACGUACAAGCAGUGGGAGCACCCUUUGGGGUGUGACUGCGUACCUUUUGUAUAAUGGGUCAGCGACUUAUAUUCUGUAGCAAGGUUAACCGAAUAGGGGAGCCGGAGGGAAACCGAGUCUUAAUUGGGCGUUAAGUUGCAGGGUAUAGACCCGAAACCCGGUGAUCUAGCCAUGGGCAGGUUGAAGGUUGGGUAACACUAACUGGAGGACCGAACCGACUAAUGUUGAAAAAUUAGCGGAUGACCUGUGGCUGGGGGUGAAAGGCCAAUCAAACCGGGAGAUAGCUGGUUCUCCCCGAAAGCUAUUUAGGUAGCGCCUCGUGAAUUCAUCUCCGGGGGUAGAGCACUGUUUCGGCUAGGGGGCCAUCCCGGCUUACCAACCCGAUGCAAACUGCGAAUACCGGAGAAUGUUAUCACGGGAGACACACGGCGGGUGCUAACGUCCGUCGUGAAGAGGGAAACAACCCAGACCGCCAGCUAAGGUCCCAAAGUCAUGGUUAAGUGGGAAACG
rnacentral:rRNA from 1 species